CCCAAGGGUUGGGCUGUUCGCCCAUUAAAGUGGCACGCGAGCUGGGUUCAGAACGUCGUGAGACAGUUCGGUCCCUAUCUGUUGUGGGCGUUAGAAACUUGAGAGGGCCUGCCUCUAGUACGAGAGGACCGAGGCGGACAGACCUCUGGUAUGCCUGUUGUGGCGCCAGCUGCACCGCAGGGUAGCCAUGUCUGGAAGAGAUAAGCGCUGAAAGCAUCUAAGCGCGAAGCUCGCCUCAAGAUUAGGUUUCUUUUAAGGGCCGUCAUAGACGAUGACGUUGAUAGGCUGCAGGUGUAAAGACAGUAAUGUCAAAGCUGAGCAGUACUAAUGACCCGUAGCUUUCGGAUU
rnacentral:rRNA from 1 species